AGAAUCAACGCUGGCGGCGUGCCUAACACAUGCAAGUCGAACGAGAAAGUGGAGCAAUCCAUGAGUAAAGUGGCGACCGGGUGAGUAACACGUGACUAACCUACCUUCGAGUGGGGGAUAACCUCGGGAAACCGGGCUAAUACCGCAUAACAUCUUUGAAGUGGAAAUUUCGGAGAUCAAAGGGGCAAUUCGCUUGAAGAGGGGGUCGCGGCUGAUUAGCUAGUUGGCGGGUAACGCCCACCAAGGCUUAGAUCGGUA
rnacentral:rRNA from 1 species